UGGCGAACGGGUGAGUAUAAUGUGGGUAUCUGCCUUUUGGUUUGGAAUAACACGGGGAAACUUGUGCUAAUACCGGAUAAGCCUUCACAGGGAAAGUUUUAACGCCGAAAGAUGAGCCUGCACUUGAUUAGCUAGUUGGUAAGGUAAUGGCUUACCAAGGCUACGAUCAAUAGCUGAUCUGAGAGGAUGAUCAGCCACAUUGGGACUGAGACACGGCCCAAACUCCUACGGGAGGCAGCAGUGGGGAAUCUUGCACAAUGGGGGAAACCCUGAUGCAGCGAUGCCGCGUGAGUGAAGAAGGCCUUUGGGUUGUAAAGCUCUUUCGUCGGGGAAGAAAAUGACUGUACCCGAAUAAGAAGGUCCGGCUAACUUCGUGCCAGCAGCCGCGGUAAUACGAAGGGACCUAGCGUAGUUCGGAAUUACUGGGCUUAAAGAGCUCGUAGGUGGUUAGAAAAGUUGGUGGUGAAAUCCCAAGGCUUAACCUUGGAACUGCCAUCAAAACUUUUUAACUAGAGUGUGAUAGAGGAAAGUGGAAUUUCUAGUGUAGAGGUGAAAUUCGUAGAUAUUAGAAAGAACACCGAUUGCGAAGGCAACUUUCUGGAUCACUACUGACACUGAGGAGCGAAAGCAUGGGUAGCGAAGAGGAUUAG
rnacentral:rRNA from 1 species